AGGGGUGAUGUUUUAGAAUGUUUUUCCACCACGAGGUUUCUGGCGCAGAGCUACUGAGAGGUUUUGGCUGCGCCUGGGGCACACGGACUUCGGGUGUGCAUCCCUGCAGGAACUGCAGAUAUGGAGAAAUGAACAAUAAGUAUACUGCGUGUGGGAGGCUCUGGGCGCGGAGAAAGGCACUGAGGGGCAGAGGACAGCGAUGUGGCCUUGUGCUCCGCAGCUGUUGCAAGAAAUAGCGGUUUGCCCGCCGGUAGCCAUCACGAGCAGCUCGAUGUCCAUCACUGACCAGUCGAGGCGGAUAUUGCUAUGCGCUAGGUGAAGCGCUGCUUUACUAGAAAAGCUUUUAUGACAGAGCAGAUGACGUCACGGAAGAUGCCGAAAGCUACCAUGAAUUGCCCUAUGCUGAUAUCUCUGAUAAGCCUGGGGUCUGCGGUUUUAAAGACGGCGGUGAUGUCUCCUCCUGUGGCGAUGGCUUUAUCGCACUCUGGGGAGGGCAGGAUAAGGCUAAGCAAGUUAACAUCCUUCCCUUCAAGAAUUUUCGACCUAAGCCGUGAGGAGAUAUUAGCGGCUUGAGAAAUAAAAGGCCUACCUGCAGGGGGGGCUGGGAGGGCUGAAGCCAGAGAGUGAGGAGGAGCUGCCACUGGGAUGCGUGGAAAACCCUGACCUGGCAACCCCAGCGGGACUGAGGCAGCGAGCGCUGCUCUGAAUGCGGCGGAAGUUGACGCUCCUGUGCCGGAGUCUUCCAGGGCCUGGAGGCGAGCAUCGAUGGCUCUUAUGGAGCUAUUGAGGGAUUGCAGGGCGCCGACCACGCUACUUUCCCCGCUCCCGGCCUGGUGAGCCUGAGAAGGGGUGGAUUUGGGAGGCGGACGGGGUCCUGGAGGGCUCGAUUUCCUGCGUUUUUUUCCUCCGCGGCUGCGGCCGCGUCCUCGCCCUGGUCUCUCUGGGGAGCUGCUUGGGGCUGCUGCCUCGGGCUGGGGAGCUGAGCUGGAGACCUGAUCCGAGAGCUCUCGAAGUUGCGAGAGAGUGAGGCCUGGGGCUGUGGGGAUGCCCUGCUGCCGGAGUCGGGCGAUGAGGAAGUCUGCCUCUGGUGAUAGG